rnacentral:tRNA from 1 species
GUCCCGGUAGCUUAAAUUGGAUAAAGCUUUCCCCUGACUCAGGAAAAGAUGCGGGUUCGAAUCCCGCCCGGGGCG